UUUUUUUUCAUGACGACCAAUAAAAAACAAUGUUACCCCUUAUGUUUUUUUUCAUGACGACCAAUAAAAAACAACAGUGUUACCCCUUAUGUUUUUUUUCAUGACGACCAAUAAAAAACAACACUGUUACCCCUUAUGUUUUUUUUCAUGACGACCAAUAAAAAACAACACUGUUACCCCUUAUGGUUUUUUUCAUGACGACCAAUAAAAAACAACAGUGUUACCCCUUAUGUUUUUUUUCAUGACGACCAAUAAAAAACAACAGUGUUUCCCCUUAUGUUUUUUUUCAUGACGACCAAUAAAAAACAACAGUGUUACCCCUUAUGUUAUUUUUCAUGACGACCAAUAAAAAACAACAGUGUUACCCCUUAUGUUUUUUUUCAUGACGACCAAUAAAAAACAACAGUGUUACCCCUUAUGUUUUUUUUCAUGACGACCAAUAAAAAACGACAGUGUUACCCCUUAUGGGUUUUUUCAUGACGACCAAAGAAAAACAACAGUGUUCCCCUACGAAUCACUGCCAGAGACCGCACUGCGAGUGAUUGACAGAAGGCAGGGCUAUAUUCGCACUGAAGCGAUGAGUGUCUGUUAACUCGCUUUCCGAGAGAAGAGAAGACAGCGCGCUGACAUACUUCUAUUUUGUGUGAUUUUGCGGAACAAAAGGUUGUUCUGCAGUUUCUAAAAACAUUUGAAUAAAUAGCCUUUAUAUUAACAUCCACCCAAAAUCCACUUGCCCGUUCGGGCAACCAGAAAAAAUCUCAACUUGCCCAAACAUUUUUUUUACUUGCCCCGGGCAAGCGGGCAACCGUAAGUGUCAUUGGCUGAACUAUAUAUUGCAUCCAUCUCUACUCCGUCUCUACUCUCACCCGAGGGAAUCCCGUGAUGUUUGUGAUUGAAGUCUCAAUGAUCUGAAUAAACUUGCCCAGAGCUCCAUAUCCAGCCUGGGUGGUUGUUAGUGUGUGCUGUGAUGAUGAAAUCAUUUAAAACUGAUCUGUUCUGUAGAGGCCUUCUGAUAUAUUGACUCAACAUCACCCUCCAAAGCAUUCUGCCAAACAACUUAUGAACCAUUUAACCCAUAAUGCCCACUCAAAAACAUCCUAGAAAGUACAAAAAUAGAUAUAUCUGGCCCUGAGAGACAACAGCUUUGGUUAAACAUUAUGUAUUUACACAUCAUUCAGGGUCGCACACCGGUGAGCUAUGAAGCGCCCAUGUACUUUAUAUGCACAGUAAAAGUAAAUUAAUACAAGAUGGAGGCUUUUUCUCAUUAGAAAAAACAUUCACAUGUCCUUUAAAAAAAACAACUGAUUGUUUGUUAAAAAGAAAGGAAGAAAGUGUUAAAAAUAGAGACAUAAUUGCCCAUUUCAUUUCACCACAUUUGUCCGUUAAACAAAUCAACCUGAAGAAUCUCCCUGGGGGGCCUCUUCAGUUUUCCUUCUAUUUACACAUUUACACACAAGCCCCCCCCCCAAGGGGGGACCGGGGAUCCAGCUACCCCCCUCCCGGUCUCCCUCC
ensembl:lncRNA